ACAAGUGAAGGCUUCCAAGACUGGGGCGGCGAGGCAUCCAGUGAGCAGACGCAGUGAUGGAGGCGAGGAGGGCGGACGGAUUGGUGGAUAGAGACUGCCGAUCAACCCUCGUCGUUCGCGGCUCCCAGAGGACUUGAAAGCUUAUCAAAGAGGCCUUGAAGGUAUGCAGAGGCCACACUUCCUACCUACCAGAUCGUCAGGUGUGGCUGUGUGCUGCCCUGGCCAUGGCUGCACCACCUUGGAUGCUGUUCUUCAGCACAACACUUCGGCUUCAGGCCAAGAAUCAUCUGGUGUGAAUUUGUCAUUCAAGUCUCAUCAGUCACUCAACACACACUGGCAUGAUCCACUCCCAUCCCCACCGCUCCCUGCCCCUCCCCCCUCCCUUCUGGCACUGCUUUGUGUGCCAUGGCAGUCAUAAGGGCAGGAAAGC